GUCUUUUAUUGUUAUAUUUUUCAGAAUAAAUUUCGGAUUGUUUAAGAUUAUCAUAGUGUUAAAUCUGAACCUUGAUAAUAAGUUACCAAUGGUGACCUGAACCCUGAACCUUAAUCUUUUUCUAAGUAUGGGAUCUAGUACAGACGACCUCAAGGCGAGGAUGAAACAGCUGAAAUUUCCGUCGGCCGACGAAUCUGGAGCAUUCAGUCCUACUCCAAGUCCAGGGGGCUCCCUCUCUGCCCGUCCUGUUCGUCCCCGUCCUUCACUAGUCGGACUACCAUCCAAUAUAGGACUAACAUCUCCUCUUACUAGGAGACAAAAUCCUACCUCAGUUAAUCUAAACGAACCACUGUCGAGAGCAAGAUUAAAAUUUGACAGUUUCCCGCAACAAUCCCGGGACGAAUAUGAACGAAAACUCGAGGAUAUCAUGAAACUCACUGGAGUACUAACAAUAGACGGGAAGAAAUACAAAACUCCGAUUACAGACUUAGAACCUAAAGGAGAUCUUGGGAACGGAACGUGUGGAAAUGUCGUCAUGAUGAAACAUAAAGAGACGGGGAAGAUAAUUGCAUGUAAGCAAAUGCGCCGAACGGGAAACUCCGAGGAGACGAAGAGAAUCGUCAUGGACAUGGACGUGGUACUUAAAUCCCAUGACUGUAAAGAGAUUGUUGUCUGCCUAGGCUGUUUUAUAACGAUCAGUGAUGUAUGGAUCUGUAUGGAGUUGAUGGCAACCUGCUUUGAUAAGUUGCUAAAGCAGAUAAAGACGGGGGUACCUGAACAUAUUUGCGGGAAGGUGGCUGUUUCAACGCUCAAUGCAUUAAAUUAUCUCAAGGAUUCCCAUGGUGUGAUCCAUAGAGACGUUAAACCUUCCAAUAUUCUUCUCGAUUACGAGGGAAAUGUGAAACUCUGUGAUUUUGGAAUUUCAGGUCGUUUGGUUGACUCCAAGGCUAAGACCCGUAGCGCCGGGUGUGCCGCUUAUAUGGCGCCAGAGAGAAUUAAUCCGCCAAAUCCUAGUAAACCGGAUUACGACAUCCGGGCCGAUGUGUGGAGCUUAGGGAUUACCUUAGUAGAGCUAGCAACUGGACAUUUCCCGUAUAAAGACUGUAAAACAGAAUUCGAGGUUCUAACAAAAGUGAUUCAAGACGAUCCUCCCAGUCUACCGCUAGACUAUUCACCAGAAUUCCGACAAUUUGUUCAUGAUUGCUUGCUCAAGAACCACAAGGAUCGACCGAAGUACAAGAAGCUGCUGGAACAUCCCUUCAUCCUCAAGUACAGGGAUAAGGAUGUUGAUGUUGGAGCCUGGUAUUACAAGGUUGCCAAUCAUUCAGGAGAUCCUAACAAGGCUGCGGAGCAUCUCGCAAUGAAAGCUGCGCUAGGAAUACGAAAAUCCUCCCUCGAACAGAGGCAUGAGACACAAACCUUCAAACCUCAACCUAGUCCUAGGAUGGUCAAGUCCUGGAGAAUGCAGCAGAAUCAGUUCACCAGCUCGGAGGAGCAUAAACCCACAUCUAACACCACCAGUCAUGAUUUCUCCAGGUUGAAGUUUUACACAACCAACCAAGAUCCCCUCCCUUCAGAGCUAAAUUUACAGAAACCAACUCUAUCGCCUAGGAAGGAAGACUAUGCGUCUAGGUACAAUGAACCAACAUCACCACGGUAUGAUAAUCCCCGUCUCCAGGAGUUAUCUAUGAAAUCCUACGAAUAUAGCAGUCCUGGAGGAGGAGGAAGUAGAUACGAAACACGUUCUACCAACCUGGAGGGUGGAAGGUUGAACCUGAACGGUUCCUUGAGCAGAAACAGCCAUACGUCCUCCUAUCAUGGAUCCGCAGCCUCAUCCUACCUCUCCCGGCCAACCUACUUGAACUCUAGAUCUCAUGACGACUAUCCCUCACAGUUAAAAUCACCAACUUCAAAACGCUACGACUCACACUUAGAGACUAAUUCUCCGCGCGAUUACUCCCAUAGUUCACCACGCAAGUAUUCAUAUGAGAAUUACGAGUCUUCUCGCGAGUAUACUCCUAAAGGAAGCAGAAAAUACGAUUACUCCGAUUCAUCUUCAAGUGCUCGAAAAUUAGAAAGUUCUCGAAAAACCGAUCUAUCUCCCGAAACCCAACAAUGGUCGGAGAGAGGUGAAGCCACGCGCACUGUAGACCGGAGCCGGGACUUGCAAAGCGCUCGUAAAUAUCCUCCGGUUCCGGAGCAAACAAGGGGUCGGGAUACGUCCAGGGAGUCCCGAAACUUUCUUCCGUCCCUGAAAUUUUCCUCCUGGACUCUUUCAUCUCCGCUGAGUUUCCGAAAGUUUCGGACCUCUAGUAGUACGGAUCGAACCUCGAACUUUGAUGCUAGCAGGAGACAGCAUCCGACCUACCGGAGUCUGAACGAACGGGACAAAACGUUUUAUUCAAGCAGCGGAAAGAGUGAUAAUUUGUAGACCUUGACAUCGUUGUAGUUCGUGAUAUAAACCAGUGUUGUUGUCAGGUCUAACUUACGCCUAAAAACUGCAGGAUGCUUUUUCCCACAACUAAUUGUUAAAGAAAAAAAUCAAAGGUUGGGCGGAGUAUUGAAUUCACCUUGUGCCAUCAUCAAAAAUUUAAGAUUAUUUCUUUUAAUUUUGCCACAAAAAAGGGGGGGUUUUCGUUAGGAAUGUUUAAGAAAAACUAAACAAUAACAAUGAAUCAAAGUCUGUGCCAUAGGAUCCGUUCGGUUUUGAUGCUUAUCCGUCCUAUGAAAAAUGAAUCCGGACUGCAAUUAAAACAAAUAUUUUUUUGUUCUGAGCUUUUGGUCAUAUAUUUUUAAUUCUGAUGUGGAUCUAAAUACAUCCAGAGAUUAUCAGGAGGACUUGUCAAAUUCAAUGUUAAGUUUUUCUGAUUAUUUGGGUUGAUUUUAUGCCUUGGAUCCGGAUUCAUGAAGAAGUCUAGAUUUUAAGCACUGCAAAAAAGGGAAAGAGGCUCAUGAUUAGAUUAUAAUUGUUUAUAAAUGUUUAAAGUGUUGUAUAAUCGUCAAUAUGUCCAGAAACACAGUCGGUUCUUUUUUUGGGUUCAAAAUCAAAAUCGACGAAACUCUUCAGUACAGGUUGAUUAAGUAUUAACCUCAAUAUAGUCAGUAACUGAGAAUAUAGCGACCCUAUACACAGAUUGUAUUUGUAUACAUUUAAUAGUAGACGAUGUUAAUGUAAUUCAUAUCAACAUUCUACCUUGGUUCUUAUCUUAGAAGCAUAUUUUUUAAAAUCCCCAUCCCUCUGGAAUUAGGAAAAAUUCACAUCAACUUAAAAAUUAUUUAUGUCUUUAUACAAAAGUAUUUAUGAAAACCCUCGAAAAUAUGCAAUAAAUUAGGUGUAAUUUCAAGUAAGCCAAUUUAUAGAGUGGUAUAUCAGAUUUACAACAAUACUCAACACUUUGUCUGAUCAUGAUCGAGGAGGAAUGAGAUAAACUUACUUUUUAUCUGAAAAUGGACUUUCUCAAAAAAGCUACUCGCGAGCUGUUACUGCAGAGACUGAGAAGGAAACUUUUAAUAUUAGAGGGUAUCGUUGUGAAUAGAACAUGCCACUUAUGUAAAGGAGGGUCACAUGAAAUUACAUCUGAAGUCCUUAGAACUGAAAUUAAACAUCUCAAUCAACCUCUAGCCAAGGGUUCUGAAGAUAUAUACUUACUAAAUGUAUGGUAUGAUUCCAUCUAGUAUUAACUGAUUGACAUUAAUAUUGUUUUUGUUAUAAUUGUUAAAGUUAUGUAUGCAGACAUCUUAACAAAGCAUUCAAAAAUAAAUAGAUAAAAUAUUUUU
rnacentral:misc_RNA from 1 species